rnacentral:rRNA from 1 species
UUUUUUCAGUACAAAUAAUAUGCUGUCUAAGUAAUACAUCUAACUAAAGGACAAAAAGACCCUUUGAAGCUUUAUAGGGGAUAAAACUUUGAUUGCAUUUUUUAGCUUAGGCCGCUCAAAGAUCUAUAUCUGAGGUGUGCCUUAAUAAAUUUAUUUAUUGGUCUUGCCUUUAAAAUAAAGAUCAAGACCACUGUUUAAUUGGGGCGAUAAAAAA